rnacentral:rRNA from 1 species
AUGAGCCAUACAAUGAAGCUAUGGGAGAGAGUCAUUGAGCACCGCUUAAGAAGAAUGACAAGCGUGACCAAAAAUCAGUUUGGUUUCAUGCCUGGGAGGCCGACCAUGGAAGCCAUUUUCUUGGUACAACAACUUAUGGAGAGAUAUAGGGAGCAAAAGAAGGACUUGCAUAUGGUGUUCAUUGACUUGGAGAAGGCCUAUGAUAAGAUACCGUGGAAUGUCAUGUGGUGGGCCUUGGAGAAACACAAAGUCCCAGCAAAGUACAUUACCCUCAUCAAGGACAUGUACGAUAAUGUUGUGACAAGUGUUCGAACAAGUGAUGUCGACACUGAUGACUUCCCGAUUAAGAUAGGACUGCAUCAGGGGUUAACUUUGAGCCCUUAUCUUUUUGCAUUGGUGAUGGAUGAGGUCACAAGGGAUAUACAAGGAGAUAUCCCAUGGUGUAUGCUCUUUGCGGAUGAUGUGGUGCUAGUUGACGAUGGUCGGACGGGGUAA